rnacentral:lncRNA from 1 species
UCCUGGUUCUCAAAGCUGCUCCCACGCCGGGGGGCUGGAAAGGCAGGGAAACUGUGGCCACUCUGCAUUUGGGAGACCCCCACAGGAACCAUCCAGGACUCUCAGAGGCAGUCUGACAGCCUGCCUGCUCUCUGUGAACCCUGUAAGGCUGCAGUCACACUGUGAGACCUAAACCUUUCCUGGAAUGGUUUCCAGAAUGCAAGUGGAAGACAGAGAGCCUAUCUGCAAACUGUCUGCAUUUGACCAGGGAGUUUCUCUUGCUCUCGUGUCUUACGGUGACUGCUACACAGCACAGACCCUGGCUGUUCUGCGUGUGGGGAGAGAUGAACGCCUGCUUUGUUCUCCAGAGGCAGGCCAGGAAAGGAAGCAAGCUACUACUGACUUGGUUCUUCAGACCUUCUCCUGGUGCCCCCACAGAACCCUCCUUGCCCAGCGCCUGUCAGAGCCGCUGGGAAGCUCAGCUGCAGAGCAUGCACUAGAUGCUCUAACUGCAGGGGUGUUUGGGCAGGUGUUCUCUGUAGCAUCAUUCCAGUGGAGUGCUAGGCUCACUGCAGGAAGUGGGACACCUGCAUGGCCCAUGUAUUUGGGCAUUCGCCAGGAUUGA